rnacentral:tRNA from 1 species
GGGCGAAUAGCUCAGCUGGCUAGAGCACACCCCUGAUAAGGGUGAGGUCGGAGGUUCGAGUCCUCUUUCGCCCA